AAGUAUUGAAGUAAAAUUUACUAUUAGUUUCGACCUAAUCAUAGAGAAUAUCAUUUUCUCCUUA
rnacentral:tRNA from 1 species